rnacentral:misc_RNA from 1 species
GAUGAAGAACGUAGCGAAAUGCGAUACGUAGUGUGAAUUGCAGAAUUCCGUGAACCAUCAAAUCUUUGAACGCAUAUUGCGCUCGAGGCUUCGGCCGAGAGCAUGUCUGCCUCAGCGUCGGUAUUACCCCUCGCUUCUCAACCCCUGGUUGAUGCCUGCCUGCCUUUGCAGUUGGCUAGAAGCGGAUCUGGCUUUCCCAAUUGCCUUUGGUAGUUGGGUCAGCUGAAGCACAGAGGCUUGAGCAAGGACCCUUAUUGGGCUUCAACUGGAUAGGUAGAACUGGUCUUAGGACCAACUACACGAAGUUGUUGCUUGUGGUCUUUGUCUGGAGGCCAGCAGGAACCCUUUAUACCUUCGACCUGAGCUCAGGCAAGAUUACCCGCUGAACUUAAGCAUAUCAAUAAGCGGAGGA